AUAUCAGCGUUGACAGGAAUAAGUAGCAGGUCAUCUCCCUGUUUCAGAGAGCCGGUGGUGGUGCGAACCGGUAUAUAGAUGAAUGUGAAUUACCUCCUCGAGCUUCCUUUGUGAAAAUAUCAGUAGCAAAGGACGGUUGAACCGUUAUGUCUUAGAGUGGAAGAGCAAUCUUCAACGAGGGUGGUACCGCGUGCAAAAACCACGUCCCUUUU
rnacentral:ncRNA from 1 species